rnacentral:rRNA from 1 species
AGUGAACGCUGGCGGUAGGCCUAACACAUGCAAGUCGAACGGCAGCACAGUAAGAGCUUGCUCUUACGGGUGGCGAGUGGCGGACGGGUGAGGAAUACAUCGGAAUCUACUUUUUCGUGGGGGAUAACGUAGGGAAACUUACGCUAAUACCGCAUACGACCUACGGGUGAAAGCAGGGGAUCUUCGGACCUUGCGCGAUUGAAUGAGCCGAUGUCGGAUUAGCUAGUUGGCGGGGUAAAGGCCCACCAAGGCGACGAUCCGUAGCUGGUCUGAGAGGAUGAUCAGCCACACUGGAACUGAGACACGGUCCAGACUCCUACGGGAGGCAGCAGUGGGGAAUAUUGGACAAUGGGCGCAAGCCUGAUCCAGCCAUACCGCGUGGGUGAAGAAGGCCUUCGGGUUGCAAAGCCCUUUUGUUGGGAAAGAAAAGCAGCAGGUUAAUACCCCGCUGUUCUGACGGUACCCAAAGGAUAAGCACCGGCUAACUUCGUG